UACGGGGGGGGCAAGCGUUGUUCGGAAUUACUGGGCGUAAAGGGCUCGUAGGCGGCCAACUAAGUCAUACGUGAAAUCCCUCGGCUUAACCGGGGAACUGCGUCUGAUACUGGAUGGCUUGAGUUCGGGAGAGGGAUGCGGAAUUCCAGGUGUAGCGGUGAAAUGCGUUGAGAUCGGAAGGAACGCCCGUGGCGAAAGCGAGGCCCUGGACCCUUACUGACGCUGAGACGCGAAAGCCAGGGGAGCGAACGGG
rnacentral:rRNA from 1 species